rnacentral:rRNA from 1 species
AACGUAGGAGGCGAGCGUUAUCCGGAUUUACUGGGCGUAAAGCGCACGCAGGUGGCUGUGUAAGUCGGACAUGAAAGCUCCUGGCUUAACUGGGAGAGGUGGUUCGAAACUGCAUGGCUUGAGGUUGGGAGAGGGACGUGGAAUUCCCGGUGUAGUGGUGGAAUGCGUAGAUAUCGGGAGGAACACCAGUGGCGCAAGCGGCGUCCUGGCCCACACCUGACGCUGAUGUGCGAAAGCGUGGGGAG